rnacentral:misc_RNA from 1 species
GGAGACAUCAUCACAACUGUUAAUAACGGUAGCAUUAGCAGCAAUAGAAAGCUAAGUCAGUAAAGGGCCAAUAAUCUUUUUUAAAAAAAGAAAAGGAAAAAAAUCCAUAUUCAAGUGCCCAUAUGGGAUAUCUAAGCAAGUUGAAAUUUUUAACCAAACAAAAAUUGUACAGGCUCACAGUUCCAAGAGAUCAAAAUUGCUGCUGCCGUUGGCUAUCCGCUGAUAUAUUAGGCUCCAAGGUUCAAAAUACAUCGGAAAAGAAAAUCACACAUCACCUCAACCGCUGGAUUCCUCAAACUCAGUACAACAUUCCUAAGAUUCAGCCAGGGAUGGUUUCAAGAACAGCAGUUGUCUUGAUGAUUGGUCUUCUGGGAAUGGUUUACCAGGCCACACAGCUUCCUCCACCUCAGAGGGAUAUUCCUCAUGUGAAUUCUCCAAGAAUUAGACUCAGUGAUGGAAGAUAUCUGGCUUACAGAGAGAAGGGAGUCCCCAAGAACAAAUCCAAGUAUAAGAUCAUUAUUGUUCAUGGCUUUGGGAGCUCAAAAGAAAUGAACUUUCUGGCACCUCAAGUACAAGCAUAAAUCUCUCUUCUAUAGCUAUCUUUCUUUCUAUUGAUCUGAAAAUUUAGACAUUAUCAUUUGUGAUUAUAUCUAACUAGAGCAUGGGUGACUAAGAAGAUGUGACACGGGAAGGGAACUCGACCUAGUAGGUGGUAUUGGACAAACAAUCUGGAGUGAAUCAGAAAUUUAUGAAAAAGCUGUUUGAAUUGAUAGAGAUUUCCCAUAGAUUUUGCAUAAUUGCAUAUUUACUGAACUAUAUAUGAGCUCAAUGAAUCAAGAAAAUCCUCAUUUCAACACAAUUUAGAUUUUUUGGUUUUGAUGAUAUGAAUAUGUUUGUUGGACUUCUAGAGAUGCUUUUAGUCAAAGUGAUGUAAACAAAAUGCUGGGGAAGUUAUUUUGAUCACACAUAUGGGCACAUGUUGGUGGGUCUCAUAUCAAAAUAUGCCUCUAGAGAUCCUAGUCUGAUACGAGUGAUCUUUUACAAGAAAAUUUGGUACUUCUUCCAGUUAUGAAGAACUAACUACUGGUUUGAAAUUGCAAGUGUACGAGUAAAGUGAAUUUCACAGUACUUUAGUUUUCAGGAACUCAUAGAGGAGCUGGGGAUAUAUUUUCUGCUGUUUGAUCGAGCUGGGUAUGGAGAAAGUGAUCCAAACCCAAAGCGAACUGUAAAGAGUGAAGCACUUGACAUUGAAGAACUUGCUGAGCAGCUGCAGAUAGGAUCCAAGUUUUACGUGAUAGGAGUCUCAAUGGGAUCAUACCCAAUCUGGAGUUGCCUCAAAUAUAUACCACACAGGCUAGCGGGUGCAUCACUAAUAGUUCCAGUUGUCAAUUAUAGAUGGCCUUCUCUUCCUCAAAAUUUGAUAAGAGAGGACUAUAGAAGGAAACUUGUCCAGUGGGCGCUCUGGUUUUCAAAGUAUGCCCCUGGACUACUACACUGGUGGGUUACUCAGCAAUGGAUCCCUUCAACUUCUGUCCUGGAAAAGAACCCACUAUUUUUUAGCACUGAAGAUAUAGAGAUCUUGAAGAAGAUACCAGGGUUCCCAAUGUUAAGCAAGGUAACUGCAUGCUCCAUAUGCAUGAAAAGAAUGAAAGGAAGCUAUUAAUAAAAUAAAAUAAUAAAAUUUGUUCUACUAGGUUGUAUUUUUACAUGUCAAAAUACGUUAUUUUUUUUGUUUCCACCUACAGGAUAGAUUACAACAACAAGAUGUUUUUGAUACUCUCCGUCAUGAUUUUAUGGUUGGCUUUGGAGAUUGGGACUUUGAUCCAAUUCAGCUAAGAAAUCCAUUUCCUCAAAAUGAAAGCUCUGUUCACAUCUGGCAAGGUUAUGAAGAUAAGGUAGUGCCAUUUCAACUUCAAAGAUAUAUUUCGGGGAAGCUACCAUGGAUUCAAUAUCAUGAAGUUCCUCAUGGUGGACAUCUAAUUGUGCAUUAUAGUGGUUUAUGUGAGACUGUUUUGAAAGCACUUUUACUUGGAGAAGAACCUCUUAAAUUAGAACAAGUGCAUCCAUAAUUGCUUGUUAAUUUAUCACAUAGACAUUCCAUUAUUCAAAAUGUUUUUCAUGUAAGUAGAUUGAAUUUUAGAGAAUGUACACAUGUGUCAAAUUACAUU